rnacentral:rRNA from 1 species
AAACCAAUAAAGUUUUCUUUAUUGGGGUUGCGGACAUAUCAUAACGAAGAGGUAUCGUAAUUGAAGAGGUUUGGAAAGACCUACCACAGAAGGUAAUAGUCCUGUAUGUUAAACGAGAAGACUUUAGAUAUGAUCCAGAGUACCACGGGACACGUGAAACCCUGUGGGAAGCAGGAGGGACCACCCUCCAAGGCUAAAUACUACCUAGU